rnacentral:rRNA from 1 species
GAUGAACGCUGGCGGCGUGCCUAAUACAUGCAAGUCGAGCGAACAGACGAGGAGCUUGCUCCUCUGACGUUAGCGGCGGACGGGUGAGUAACACGUGGAUAACCUACCUAUAAGACUGGGAUAACUUCGGGAAACCGGAGCUAAUACCGGAUAAUAUAUUGAACCGCAUGGUUCAAUAGUGAAAGACGGUUUUGCUGUCACUUAUAGAUGGAUCCGCGCCGCAUUAGCUAGUUGGUAAGGUAACGGCUUACCAAGGCAACGAUGCGUAGCCGACCUGAGAGGGUGAUCGGCCACACUGGAACUGAGACACGGUCCAGACUCCUACGGGAGGCAGCAGUAGGGAAUCUUCCGCAAUGGGCGAAAGCUUGACGGAGCAACGCCGCGUGAGUGAUGAAGGGCUUCGGAUCGUAAAACUCUGUUAUGAGGGAAGAACAAAUGUGUAAGUAACUAUGCACGUCUUGACGGUACCGAAGCAGAAAGCCACGGCUAACUACGU